rnacentral:lncRNA from 1 species
GGGGCUGUGACUUCAACAUUGCUCUUUCAAGACCUUAGCUCUGUUUGAAUUGCUUUUAUAUAAAUGUUCUGUAUAGCGUGAACAAAGUUACUGCUUCCCCGGUUUUUAUUUCUCGUGAGCGACUAAAACCAGUUAAAAACCGCUCCCUGGAUCUGUCGGGCUGGAGUCAGCGCUCCGGCUCUUCCGGGGCUGCCCGCGGGAGGCGGGGGGUGCGCGGACACGAGUGUCCCCUGUGGCAAGGUCAAGCCCGACAGCGGGGCGCUCGGCCCGCGGCUGCCCUGGCCGUCGGUGGCGUUUCGGGGCACCCUCCGCGCCGCGCGGGGCGAUCGGUCUUCGCAUCGCCCCGACCGACGCCGGGGUCCGCGCUGCCCGCGCCGCCCGACACAGUCAUGUUCCGCGGGAGAGAACGCGGAGCGGUGCGGACGCCGCCCGCCCCGGGGUUCCCCUCGCCGACGGGCAGAGUCCGGGGCUGGCGCCGCGGCGCGGGGGAGCGGCCGGGCCCCGCAGCGGCGCGGAGCGGAGCGGGACGCGCGGCGGCGGCGCAGGAGAGCCCAGCCGGGGCCGCCGGUAUUUAGGGCGGGCGCUGCCGGAGCCGGGCGGGAGCGGGACGGCGGGGACGGCGGGAAAAUCAUUUACCUGGAUUUUUUCUUGAAUAAAAGAUAACUUAAUUGAAAUAUUAGAUUAUUGGGAAGAAAUUCAUUUUAUCUAGAAGUGAUUGACACCUGUUGGAAGCAAUAGGACUACUAAUAGGCUUGUUCAUAGCCCACAGGUGAGUGGGCGACAUGCACUUCAUUUUAUUUUGCAGUGCUGGAGUUGUUCUAACACUGAACAAUGGGUGAUACUUGCAAUAUAAGGCAAAGGCUCGGUGUUGCUUUUCUCAGCAACUGAAAUCAAGAUUGGACUUGGUCAUUGUCUUUAAUAUUGCUAAUCAGCCUGGUGUUUUUGGUUUAGAUUUUCACGUGUGUGGGAUGCAUGAUCAGCCCAGUGUUGAGGUAAAGCGACUUCUUAGGCUCUGGCAGUGACAGCACUGAAGUGAGCUAUUACUGAGUCAGUUAAAGGCAUGGUAAAGGUAUAGGGGAAAAAAAAACUAGAGAAGAUAAAGGAAAUUUAGCAUAGAGAAACUAGAUUAGCUUUGGCAUCCCUGUUCACUAAAGAGAAUUUGGAGAAUGUUUACAAGUGGAACUUUUAUUUCUGAAUGAAAUGAACAACAGCGAAUCUUUACUAUCAGACAGUGCUCAGCUAAAGAGCAUGAUGCCACUCAAGAUCCAAACUGCAAUGGUAUCAGAAGGGGUCUUUGGCCUCUUCUUGUAACUCCCUUUGCACCUGUCAACUGCGAAAUAGCUGCUGAGAUACCACUGUCCAAAGAGAUCCAGGCAACUGGUUAUUCCUAAGCCUGAUGUGUGUACCUGGUCAGUUUGCAGAAAUUAUAAUAAACAAUAGUAUUACUGUACA